UGGCUGCGUGCGCGUCCACGUGUACCCGCGUGCUGUCGCUUUCAGAUCGGCUGGUUUCCCUCGCGACGUGGUUGCAGCUUCUCCGGCGAUCCUACGAGAAUCGCGGACAAGUUCGCACGAUUCGAAGACUUUGCGAAAUACUCUCGACGGUGGAUUAUUACGUUGUAGCAGGAAACUGAGCUGCGAUACUUGAAUACGAUUUUAUUGGGUCCUAUCGGCACGGCGGCUUGCACGAAUUUAUCGGAAGUCAAUUCGAAUACGCGAGAAUCUGGAACAAUUGGAGUAUUUUUUUGUACAGCUGGAAUGGAGUGUGAAGUGAGCACAUCUUUAAGGCGAUCGGCAACUGCAUGAAUCAUCGAAAAACCGAGGGUCUCCGAACGUC